ACGCAUUACAGCCGGUGGGGCUGGGAUUUUGUUUGUUUAUUACUGUGCUCCCAUUAGUACCUGUGUUAUACUGGGACCAGCCUGGUGGGUGAAGGCUGAGGAUUGCUAUACUUCGAUUAUUUGGCACCGGUGUCAUUAACAUGUACAUGGCCAUUUUACUCUCUGUCAUUCUGUGGUUUUUUGUUUAAUUGUUGUUACAGUGUGGGUACCCUUGGUGUGUGUGUGUGUGUAUGUAUAUAGUGUGGCUAGUUCUGGAUUCUGGGGUUUACACUCAUCUCUAUGUUUGUGAUUUUUGCAAAUGUCUUCUUGUUAGUGUAACCACUUUCAUCUUUUCAUUUGUCCUUUAUCUCUCCUGUGUUUGUUGCCCAGAGCUGUGUUAGUCACCCACGCUCGCCCCCUCCGGUCUGUGGCCACCUCCCCCGGGUGCACAGACCAUCGUGACUAGUCAGUCGAGCACUGUAGACUUUCCUACUUCUUCUUCCCUCUCACUUGGUCUCCUUUACUUGGCAGACCUCGCUUGGUCAAAAAGGGGCAAGCACAUACUAGACCAGCUAAGGGGUAUUUGGCUUGUGAUAUUGUUAAAGAGAGGGCAGGGGAAGAAGCUAUGCUGAAAAUGAAAAAGUUAGCAAAGAUUUCUGGUUUCCAAACGUAUAAAUCUCUGUCCUUCUGUCUUGUUACUUUACGGAGCUCACAUGGUUAAUCUUCAUGCCUGCAGUUUCUCUCUCUC